rnacentral:lncRNA from 1 species
CUUUUUAUGACCUGGACUUCGGGGGAAAAAUCGACAAACGACAGGGAAGAAGUUUAUUUUAAAGCAACAAUCAGACGUCGACAUGACGACGAAGCCCGGACGAGGCCUUUGCUUCCUGGUUAUGUGAGGACAUUCAUCCACAAGUUCAUCUGUUCAAGUGGAUAUAUUCCAACGUUAUUGUCUUUUUCAUAGAAAAACUGAAAGAGGGAACGAUCGGAGCCAAUGAUUUGAAAUAUUGUUUGCUCCCCCAGACGGGCGCAUAGACCGUUGUGGCGACAGAUGAAUACUUUAAGAAGGAGUGUAGGAAGGACAUUAUGUACAAAGUCAGGUCACAGCAAGGAGGUUCCUGGUUUCGAAUCCAGAUUCGGACCAACCCUCGAAAGGAUAAUGCGGUAUGUAGAUAAUGGAUGGAUGGAUGCUACUGAGGUCAAACAAAGAUGAGGGACCAAAAGCGGGGGGGUGGGCCGGGCCGCCGGCUGACCUGAGCUGCCUCCUUGAUAUGCAGCGUUUCCAGAUAAAUGCCCCACUGUGGUUUGUAAUAAUGGCUCAGUGUUGUGUGCUGUGUGUGUGUGUGUGUGUGUGUGGACGUUGCCCUCUCACUUCGCCUCAUUAAGGGGAAGUGACUGGAUUUACAAGGCUAAUCCCAUUAUGAUGCUGCUGCCAUGUGAGGGCCGGUUGCAGGGAUUAAGGAGCCGAAGGGGUCGGACCUCAGGAUCCAGAUCAGCAGCAAACUGGGGGACGACCGACGACUGACACACACACACACACACACACACUCCGAUGGCACGUGUACACGGCGCAGAUGACGAUGACUGUGACCGACGAGGGGUCUUCACCUGUCGUCUGGAGCUUCACUGACGCGGACGGAGCUGCUGCCGAUCAAGUGCCAAAGGAGGUGAAGGUCUGGAUGAGGGACGUGAGAUCUGACUCUCAGAGCAGAACAUCUGACCGGAGACGAGAGACGAGAGACGAGAGACGAGAGACGAUGUGCAGGGAGACAAGUGACCGCGUCCCUUGUCCGGGGUCACGGAGGUCGCGAGCGGCCUAGAAAGACCUCAUGCGACAGUUCCAAUACCCAUCACAAAGUCGUGUCGAGUGUGUUUCUCCUUGAGCGGUAGCACACGGAGAUCUGGAAGUGGGGGUCGUUGGAUUUCUUUGUGGCUCCGUCGCAGACGGUAGAGUGAGCUCUGAGGGAAGCAAGUCGGAGUCUGACACAGCGGAGGGUUUUUCUUGUUUUCUUUCGUACUGAAGAGGCAGGAGGAGCGGCCGGCGGCGGUGAGUGCAACCUGCUCCAGGGCCCGCAGGCGUCUACUGCGUCUUCAUCCUCCACCUCCUCGUCCUGCUGCAGCUCUCAGGUAAUCGCAGGAAUAUUACGUGCAUAUCACUGCAGCGGUGACGCCGUAUGGAAAUGACUUGAACUUUGCAUUGUUACGAGGGAGAUCACGGGCAAACCACCUUGGAGGUCAAUCAACGACUGAACUGGUCGCAACCAAUCCAAAAGUUCCGGGAAAUUAUGAUGUAACGGCAUCCUUAAUCCAUAAUUACACUCCUCGCAUAAGGAGGAUGGAACCAAGCCGACAAACCGCGAGAUGAAUCGUCACCAUAAAAAGAAAUUUAUUCGUAGCAAAAAAAAAGGUUUAUAAAUUGGAAAACGGAAAAAAAAACCGCAAAGGCACAAGAGUGCGUACAUAAUUCCAUAAGCCAUUACGAAAGGGUGAUCAGAAUUUCGGGCAGUUGUAAAAUAAAAAAACAAAAAAUUAAAAUGAAACGUUCCAUUAUGAACACAAACGCGAGGUCAUCCCCGUCCGACGAUCAAAGGAUCACAGGCGCGCACGCACGCACACGCACGUGAUCUGUGACGUCAUCGCAUGUAACAGGUAGGGAAUCCUCUAAGAAUCCCAUCCGAAUUAUUAGCAGACACACCGAGGCGAGUCGCCUGACCACCAGCCGCAGAGACGGACGCAGUCCGUGAGGCCGACGACCUGGUAGUGACGACGCGGUCAGAAUGAGCUGGUCCAUCGCUCCGCCGCUUGCUAGAGUUACGGUCAGGGUCAUUAAUAAUCUUAAUUAUGGGAGGUUUACACCUGCAUAGAAAUCUGAUGAAUAAAAUGGUUAAACUGCACAAUUGGAUCCAAUCGCUCUGUCUUGUUAGCUAGCAUAUUCGCUUCCACAGAUGAUGUUCAAAGCUAUUUUUGCAAUUCAAAAAGUGGUCAACAUGAAACGACCUCCUUCCAUUUAGGUGAAAUUAUGAAUUUGUGACAGUUUACCGGAUCCGUUUGCUUUAACUCUGCGUCUCUGCUUUUUCCCUUCUGGGUCU